UACGGGGGGGGCAAGCGUUGUUCGGAAUUACUGGGCGUAAAGGGCUCGUAGGUGGCCAACGUAAGUCAGACGUGAAAUCCCUCGGCUUAACCGGGGAACUGCGAUCUGAUUACUGGAUGGCUUGAGUUUGGGAGAGGGACGCGGAAUUCCAGGUGUAGCGGUGAAAUGCGCAGGAUAAUCAGGAGGAACACCAACGGCGAAGGCAGCUCGCUGGGACGGUACUGACGCUGAGGCGCGAAAGCCAGGGGAGCGAACGG
rnacentral:rRNA from 1 species